rnacentral:rRNA from 1 species
UACGUAGGGGGCAAGCGUUGUCCGGAUUUAUUGGGCGUAGAGAGCGUGUAGGCGGCUUUACAGGUCCGUUGUGAAAACUCGAGGCUCAACCUCGAGACGCCGGUGGAAACCGUAAAGCUAGAGUCCGGAAGAGGAGAGUGGAAUUCCUGGUGUAGCGGUGAAAUGCGCAGAUAUCAGGAGGAAUACCGAUGGCGAAGGCAGGUCUCUGGGCUGACACUGACGCUCAUGCACGAAAGCGUGGGGAGCAAACAGG